rnacentral:rRNA from 1 species
CGCUAGCGACAGGCUUAACACAUGCAAGUCGAGGGGCAGCACAGGUAGCAAUACCGGGUGGCGACCGGCGCACGGGUGAGUAACGCGUAUGCAACUUACCUAUCAGAGGGGGAUAACCCGGCGAAAGUCGGACUAAUACCGCAUGAAGCAGGGGCCCCGCAUGGGGAUAUUUGCUAAAGAUUCAUCGCUGAUAGAUAGGCAUGCGUUCCAUUAGGCAGUUGGCGGGGUAACGGCCACCAAACCGACGAUGGAUAGGGGUUCUGAGGGGAAGGUCCCCCACAUUGGUACUGAGACACGGACCAAACUCCUACGGGAGGCAGCAGUGAGGAAUAUUGGUCAAUGGCCGAGAGGCUGAACCAGCCAAGUCGCGUGAGGGAUGAAGGUUCUAUGGAUCGUAAACCUCUUUUAUAAGGGAAUAAAGUGCGGGACGUGUCCCGUUUUGUAUGUACCUUAUGAAUAAGGAUCGGCUAACUCCGUGCCAGCAGCCGCGGUAAUACGGAGGAUCCGAGCGUUAUCCGGAUUUAUUGGGUUUAAAGGGUGCGUAGGCGGCCUUUUAAGUCAGCGGUGAAAGUCUGUGGCUCAUCCAUACAAUUGCCGUUGAAACUGGGGGGCUUGAGUAUGUUUGAAGCACGCGGAAUGCGUGGUGUAGCGGUGAAAUGCAUAGAUAUCACGCAGAACCCCGAUUGCGAAGGCAGCCUGCCAAGCCAUUACUGACGCUGAUGCACGAAAGCGUGGGGAUCAAACAGGAUUAGAUACCCUGGUAGUCCACGCAGUAAACGAUGAUCACUAGCUGUUUGCGAUACACUGUAAGCGGCACAGCGAAAGCGUUAAGUGAUCCACCUGGGGAGUACGCCGGCAACGGUGAAACUCAAAGGAAUUGACGGGGGCCCGCACAAGCGGAGGAACAUGUGGUUUAAUUCGAUGAUACGCGAGGAACCUUACCCGGGUUUGAACGCAUUCGGACCGAGGUGGAAACACCUUUUCUAGCAAUAGCCGUUUGCGAGGUGCUGCAUGGUUGUCGUCAGCUCGUGCCGUGAGGUGUCGGCUUAAGUGCCAUAACGAGCGCAACCCUUGCCACUAGUUACUAACAGGUGAUGCUGAGGACUCUGGUGGGACUGCCAGCGUAAGCUGCGAGGAAGGCGGGGAUGACGUCAAAUCAGCACGGCCCUUACAUCCGGGGCGACACACGUGUUACAAUGGCGUGGACAAAGGGAGGCCACCUGGCGACAGGGAGCGAAUCCCCAAACCACGUCUCAGUUCGGAUCGGAGUCUGCAACCCGACUCCGUGAAGCUGGAUUCGCUAGUAAUCGCGCAUCAGCCAUGGCGCGGUGAAUACGUUCCCGGGCCUUGUACACACCGCCCGUCAAGCCAUGGGAGCCGGGGGUACCUGAAGUCCGUAACCGAAAGGAUCGGCCUAGGGUAAAACUGGUGAC